rnacentral:rRNA from 1 species
AGUGAACGCUGGCGGUAGGCCUAACACAUGCAAGUCGAACGACAGCACAGUAAGAGCUUGCUCUUACGGGUGGCGAGUGGCGGACGGGUGAGGAAUACAUCGGAAUCUACUUUUUCGUGGGGGAUAACGUAGGGAAACUUACGCUAAUACCGCAUACGACCUACGGGUGAAAGCAGGGGAUCUUCGGACCUUGCGCGAUUGAAUGAGCCGCUGUCGGAUUAGCUAGUUGGCGGGGUAAAGGCCCACCAAGGCGACGAUCCGUAGCUGGUCUGAGAGGAUGAUCAGCCACACUGGAACUGAGACACGGUCCAGACUCCUACGGGAGGCAGCAGUGGGGAAUAUUGGACAAUGGGCGCAAGCCUGAUCCAGCCAUACCGCGUGGGUGAAGAAGGCCUUCGGGUUGUAAAGCCCUUUUGUUGGGAAAGAAAAGCAGCAGGUUAAUACCCCGCUGUUCUGACGGUACCCAAAGAAUAAGCACCGGCUAACUUCGUG